CUCAUUUGUCUCUUGCCUCUGCCAUGUUAGAAGUGCCUUUCGCCUCCCACCAUGACUCUGAGGCCUACACAGCCACGUCGAACUGCAAGUCCACUUAAACCUCUUUUCGUUCCCAGUUUCAGUGUGGUGGAAAAGGAAGAGAGAGCUGAGGCAGACGAUGUAAGAUCUGCUGUUACUUCUUGCUGUGUGACCUUGGGUGAAGUGAAGUGGGUGUGCCUGGGAUCACACACAGCUGAGACGGGGUUUCACUGUGUUCACCAGGAUGGUCUCGAUCUCCUGACCUUGUGAUCCACCUGCCUCAGCCUCCCAAAGUGCUGGGAUUACAGGCGUGAGCCACUGCGCCCAGCCUGCAACUCUGUUUUUUGCUUUCAGGAAAAUCAGGCCAUGUUUGUGUCCACAAACAAGAGUGAAGAUAAUCUCUCCUAUCUGAGAAAUCCAGGAGUGGAGGAAUCCAAUGGGAACUCUGGCCAAGCUAAAAGAAGGUCUCAAGAGCCACAGAUGUCUUGGAUAUUUCUGUAUUUCAGACUCUACUACCCAGACACCAAAAGAAGAAAUGAUUAACCCUGGAGGCUGCCUUGGUCUAGGUGAAAAAAUAUAUGUACGAUGACAGUGCAAUCAUACUAGAACUCAGGAUUAAGAAACUCACUCAAAACUGCUCAACUACAUGGAAACUGAACAACCUGCUCCUGAAUGACUACUGGGUACAUAACGAAAUGAAGGCAGAAGUAAAGAUGUUCUUUGAAACCAACGAGAACAAAGACACAACAUACCAGAAUCUCUGGGACACAUUCAAAGCAGUGUGUAGAGGGAAAUUUAUAGCACUAAAUGCCCACAAGAGAAAGCAGGAAAGAUCUAAAAUUGACACCCUAACAUCACAAUUAAAAGAACUAGAGAAGCAAGAGGAAACACAUUCAAAAGCUAGCAGAAGGCAAGAAAUAACUAAAAUCAGAGCAGAACUGAAGGAAAUAGAGACACACAAGAACCCUUCAAAAAAUCAAUGAAUCCAGGGGCUGGUUUUUUGAAAAGAUCAAUAAAAUUGAUAGACCGCUAGCAAGAUUAAUAAAGAAGAAAAGAGAGAAGAAUCAAAUAGACUCAAUAAAAAAUGACAAAGGGGAUAUCACCACCAAUCCCUCAGAAAUACAAACUACCAUCAGAGAAUACUAUAAACACCUCUACGCAAAUAAACUAGAAAAUCUAGAAGAAAUGGAUAAAUUCCUCGACACAUACACUGUCCCAAGACUAAACCAUGAAGAAGUUGAAUCUCUGAAUACACCAAUAACAGGCUCCGAAAUUGAGGCAAUAAUUAAUAGCUUACCAAUGAAAAAAAGUCCAGGACCAGAUGGAUUCACAGCCAAAUUCUACCAGAGGUACAUGGAGGAGCUGGUACCAUUCCUUCUGAAACUAUUCCAAUCAAUAGAAAAAGAGGGAAUCCUCCCUAAUUCAUUUUAUGAGGCCAGCAUCAUCCUGAUACCAAAGCCUGGCAGAGACACAACCAAAAAGAAUUUUAGACCAAUAUCCUUGAUGAACACUGAUGCAAAAAUCCUCAAUAAAAUACUGGCAAACCGAAUCCAGCAACACAUCAAAAAGCUUAUCCACCAUGAUUAAGUGGGCUUCAUCCCUGGGAUGCAAGGCUGGUUCAACAUACGAAAAUCAAUAAACGUAAUCCAGCAUAUAAACAGAACCAAAGACAAAAACCACAUGAUUAUCUCAAUAGACACAGAAAAGGCCUUUGAAAAAUUCAACAACCAUUCAUGCUAAAAACUCUCAAUAAAUUAGGUAUUGAUGGGACCUAUUUCAAAAUAAUAAGAGCUGUCUAUGACAAACCCACAGCCAAUAUCACACUGAAUGGACAAAAACUGAAAGCAUUCCCUUUGAAAACUGGCACAACACAUGGAUGCCCUGUCUCACCACUCCUAUUCAACAUAGUGUUGGAAGUUCUGGCCACAGCAAUCAGGCAGGAGAAGGAAAUAAAGGGUAUUCAAUUAGGAAAAGAGGAAGUCAAAUUGUCCCUGUUUGCAGAUGACAUGAUUGUAUAUCUAGAAAACCCCAUUGCCUCAGCCCAAAAUCUCCUUAAGCUGAUAAGCAACUUCAGCAAAGUCUCAGGAUACAAAAUCAAUGUGCAAAAAUCACAAGCAUUCUUAUACACCAAUAACAGACAAACAGAAAGCCAAAUCAUGAGUGAACUCUCAUUCACAAUUGCUUCAAAGAGAAUAAAAUACCUAGGAAUCCAACUUACAAGGGAUGUGAAGGACCUCUUCAAGGAGAACUACAAACCACUGCUCAAGGAAAUAAAAGAGGAUACAAACAAAUGGAAGAAAAGUCCAUGCUCAUGGACAGGAAGAAUCAAUAUCGUGAAAAUGGCCAUACUGCCCAAGGUAAUUUAUAAAUUCAAUGCCAUCCCCAUCAAGCUAUCAAUGACUUUCUUCACAGAAUUGGAAAAAAGUACUUUAAAGUUCAUAUGGAACCAAAAAAGAGCCCACAUUGCCAAGUCAAUCCUAAGCCAAAAGAACAAAGCUGGAGGCAUCAUGCUACCUGACUUCAAACUAUACCACAAGGCUACAGUAAUAAAAACAGCAUGGUACUGGUACCAAAACAGAGAUAUAGAUCAAAGGAACAGAACAGAGCCCUCAGAAAUAAUGCCACAUAUCUACAACUAUCUGAUCUUUGACAAAACUGACAAAAACAAGCAAUGGGGAAAGGAUUCCCUAUUUAAUAAAUGGUGCUGGGAAAAUGGCUAGCCAUAUGUAGAAAGCUGAAACUGGAUCCCUUCCUUACACCUUAUACAAAAAUUAAUUCAAGAUGGAUUAAAGACUUAAAUGUUAGACCUAAAACCGUAAAUACCCUAGAAGAAAACCUAGGCAAUACUAUUCAGGACAUAGGCAUGGGCAAGCACUUCAUGUCUAAAACACCAAAAGCAAUGGCAACAAAAGCCAAAAUUGACAAAUGGGAUCUAAUUAAAGAGCUUCUGCACAGCAAAAGAAACUACCAUCAGAGUGAACAGGCAACCUACAGAAUGGGAGAAAAUUUUUGCAACCUACUCAUCUGACAAAGGGCUAAUAUCCAGAAUCUACAAUGAACUCAAACAAAUUUACAAGAAAAAAACAAACAACCCCAUCAAAAAGUGGGUGAAGGAUAUGAACAGACACUUCUCAAAAGAAGACAUUUAUGCAGGCAAAAAACACAUGAAAAAAUGCUCAUCAUCACUGGCCAUCAGAGAAAUGCAAAUCAAAACCACAAUGAGAUACCAUCUCACACCAGUUAGAAUGGCAAUCAAUCAUUAAAAAGUCAGGAAACAACAGGUGCUGGAGAGGAUGUGGAGAAAUAGGAACACUUUUACACUGUUGGUGGGACUGUAAACUAGUUCAACCAUUGUGGAAGUUGGUGUGGUGAUUCCUCAGGGAUCUAGAACUAGAAAUACCAUUUGACCCAGCCAUCCCAUUACUGGGUAUAUACCCAAAGGAUUAUAAAUCAUGCUGCUAUAAAGACACAUGCACACGUAUGUUUAUUGCGGCACUAUUCACAAUAGCAAAGACUUGGAACCAACCCAAAUGUCCAACAAUGAUAGACUGGAUUAAGAAAAUGUGGCACACACACACCAUGGAAUACUAUGCAGCCAUAAAAAUUGAUGAGUUCAUGUCCUUUGUAGGGACAUGGGUGAAGCUGGAAACCAUCAUUCUCAACAAACUAUUGCAAAAGGACAAAAAACCAAACACCGCAUGUUCUCACUCAUAGGUGGGAAUUGAACAAUGAGAACACAUGGACACAGGAAGGGGAACAUCACACUCUGGGGACUGUUGUGGGGUGGGGGGAGGCGCGAGGGAUAGCAUUAGGAGAUAUACCUAAUGCUAAACGACGAGUUAAUGGGUGUAGCACACCAACAUGGCACAUGUAUACAUAUGUAACAAACCUGCAGGUUGUGCACAUGUACCCUAAAACUUAAAGUAUAAUAACAAUAAUAAUAAUAAUAGGAAUCUAAAAAAAAAAACAAUUUAAAUAAUGUCACCUAAGAUUUUUUACAAUUAGCAAGUGCUGGGGAUUCAAUCCAGGGAGUCUGACAUCCAGAGCCAAUACUUUACUACAUGAAACAGCCCUAAAAAGAGCAGAGAAUCUGUCUUCACAGAUUUUCAAAGAGUAAGGAAACAUGGUUAGGCCUAGUGGUCAGGGAAUGCUUUGUAGAUGCAGUGGGGUGUGGAAAGAGGCCAUGAAGAAGAAAGAGGAUUUGAAAGAAGAGAGAGGAAUGAAGAAAGACUUCUAAUAAAUAUGCUUGCUACGAUCAAUUCUGUGUCCUCCCUUUUCUAUAAAAUAUGAUCCUUGGCCCCUAUAAUUUCUUGACUCUAAAUGUUUGAAAGAGUGAAUCAGCAUUAUCAUGGAACAAUAUGUGCUGAUGGGUAUAGUCUCCCCCUUUGAUUGGUACUUUGCAAGUUUCACAAAUAACUAACCACCUGAGAACUUGUCUCCCUUGAACUGAAUUCCAUUUUAAUUUUGUUCACCUUCUUGAUUCUCUUCUUUUUGUGUCAAAAUUGUACUUUUGCAAAGAUGAUUUCAAAAGUGUUUUCUUUCUGAUUUAGUGCGGCCAGUUUUCAACAUUCGGUCUGAAAUUGAGGAGUUGCUGUAUGAAAAGUGAAUUUAUUUGAAUGGUAAAGUUUCCUGUGAACAGAAAUAAAGUAUUGUUUCACUCUGAAA
rnacentral:lncRNA from 1 species